rnacentral:tRNA from 1 species
GAUAUUAUAGUUUAAAGGUAGAAUAUCAAGCUCAUAAUUUGAAGAUACAGGUUCAAUUCCUAUUAAUAUUA